GGAGCCAGACUUAUCAGUCUAUAGUGGAUCAACAGACUACAGUGCAGCCAUGAUGAAAUAGGUCUGUCUGCUCAGUACCACUUAAAACACUGCAGCAGAUUAUUAUUCAAGAAGUGUUAUGCUGCUAUGUUUGACUACAGGGUGGAUUGGCUUGAUGCUGAUUCAUAUUCUGGACCUGGCUUUUCAUCCAUGGGGAGAUCAAGAAGGAUUUAUGGAGCUCUUCUGAAGCCACCUACCACCACCCGCCUCAGCUCAAUCUCCAUCCCUUCUCCACACUCAUCUGCCUACCUACAUCAGUUUCUGCUUACCCCCUUCUUCCAUCCAUUAUUAUUCAUUCAACCUUUUACCAAACAUCUCCCUCUGGGUCUGACUGCGCUGAUCAGCAAAUAUUUACCAUUUUUGGAGCCCUAGAAACUGACUUUUGCUGUAGUCUUGUGAUUGGAUGGCCCAAAUAUGACUGUGUUUAGCUGUUAUCCAGAUGUGCACAUCUCCAACAGUAACCCUCUCCCCCAACCCAGGCACCUCAUGUGCCCCAGCCUGGGCUCCCAUCCCCCCAUAUUCCCCGAUGCCAGGCGUGGAUGCCUUAUUAAACCACUGAAAGAGCACUAGCUCUUGACAUACCCUCAGGGUAUUCCAAACAGGGCAUGUGGGGGAGGGGGGGUGGAUAUAUGGUCAAGGUGAAGAGUGUGUGUAAAUGGGGGUUUCUGGGGGUCUCACAGUAUGGAGAAUGAGGUGAGUGGGAAUGGGAUAGUUGUACAGCGGGGAGUCUAUUUACCUCUGGCAGGGACACAAGGGGUCUUAUCAUACCAGCAGACCUGCACUCCAGCGUGUGUGUGUGUGUGUGUCAACAAGAAGAUAUGCAGUGCAGACAAGAUAAAGUGCUUAGCAUACACAACACGCGCUGACACACAUUCAUACAUCAAUUCACAUGUACAUCGUCACACACCGAUGCCCUUAACUGCAUAUACAAUACUCCCAGACACACAUGAACAGAUAAUGGGACGGCACGGGCAGAACUGACAGAGUAAGACAUAAAUGGGACAAAUAAAAUUGUCUGAAUUGCAAAAUUUACAGCAGUGAUGAAUAGAUUUGUUGUUUUUUUAAUCACUGAUGAUUUUUAGGACAUUACAAAUUGCAUGCUAAUGCUCAUACAGCUUAAUAUGGUUAAUAUUAAUGCACAUCAGACCUCAGGGUUCGUGCCAAUAGAAAGGCUGUGGUGUAUGAUGUCUUGUGAUGUCUGUGUGCCUCAUUAAGUAGCCUAAAGCACACAGACAUACACAAGCUGACAGCUGCCCUGCUGCAUGAACCUGUCACAUCAGAACAGCUUUGGACUGAGCAAUCAGACAGGGAUGGACAGCUUUAUUGAAAAAAACUUCCCUUACUUUCCUUAUUUUUGUGCCAUUUGUGGCUGCUGCAAAGUCUUGUCUUUUGUGUAGAAGAGAGAUGACAAACAAAUUCAGACACAUGCACAAACUUUUUUAGAAAUAAACAUAAUGGUAAUAUGAAUAUAAAAUAACAAAGCUAAAUAGGCCGUUUGAAGUAAUAGUUGGGAAAUAUGCAUAUUUGUUAUCUUCACUCAAUAUAAGGCUGCAACCAGCAGCAACUUUGGACAGAGGCAUCUGUUUCCCUCUCUUUCCACUCUUUAAACUAAGCUAAGUGGCUACUAGCUGCAUUAGAGUGGUGUCCAUCUUCUCAUCUAACACUGCAAGAAAGCAAAUAAACAUAUUCUCCAAUAUGCAGACAUACAGUGGGUGAGAAAAUGAUACAAAAACAAUAUGUGGAAAGACAUGACAGUGGCCAUGUCUGUUGGGCUGAGCCACAGAGAGGCAGAUGCCUAUAUGGGACACUGGAGAAUGUCACUCUUCAGCCAGCUGAGCCUUUGACAUACAACCCCAUUUUCCAUCCAGUCACAGGAGUUAUGAUACUGUCAGAGAGCUGUGGCGCAGCUUACUGUUACAGUGGAUUUGUGUGUGUGUGUGUGUGUGUGUGUGUGUGUGUGUGUGUGUGUGUGUGUGUGUGUGUGGUGGUGGGUGUGCACACUGGCACAAGGGAAUGUAACCUAUAUGUCAGUCUGCAGAUAGCUCAUCAGUAACCAGGCAGCAUAGAUUUGCAAACCCCCAUCCACUCAUCAGCCCGUUGCUUCCUUCUCUGCCGCUGCCAUGCUGGAGAGGUUUGAUAGGUUGAUUGUUUGAAUGUGUGUGAGGCUGCAUCGUGUGUGUUUUUAUGUGUGUCUGCGCUGCCAUGUCUGAUAGAUGAUGUGCUUAUGUGGUAAUGAGCCAUGCUGCACCGCAACCAUUUUGUCUGACUCCCCUGAGAGGGUUUCAGAUGGCAGCACUCUUCCCCUAAAUCAUCCUCCCUGUGGUUCCUGAUCCUCGUCCUCAACAGUCUCACCAUCUCUGCUGCAGGCACCUAUCCAUCCAGGAAGGAAGGGACAAAUGUCUAGAUUGUACAGAUCACUUGCUGCAGACCUGCUCAUUAGUUUACAUCGUAUAUGUCAGUGCCAUACAUGUGGCAUUGUUGGCUAGUACAGAUCUAUUUUUAAGCAAAUUUGUCCUGGACAGGAAUGUAAUUUUAUCAAUAAAUCAGUUGUGCAGCCUCCUGUUUCUUUUAAAUUUGCCUCAUGUGAGUAAAAACUAUACAUUAACAACUAAAUAACAAUCUAAUCACAAAAUUAUCGUAA